ACGGAAGGCAGCAGUGAGGAAUAUUGGUCAAUGGGCGGAAGCCUGAACCAGCCAAGUAGCGUGCAGGAUGACGGCCCUACGGGUUGUAAACUGCUUUUAUAUGGGGAUAAAAAGCGGGACGCGUCCCGCCUUGUAGGUACCAUAAGAAAAAGGACCGGCUAAUUCCGUGCCAGCAGCCGCGGUGAUACGGAAGGUCCGGGCGUUAUCCGGAUUUAUUGGGUUUAAAGGGAGCGCAGGCGGCCUGCUAAGCGUGUGGUGAAAUGUAGUGGCUCAACCUCUGCACUGCCACGCGAACUGGCGGGCUUGGGUGCGGUGAACGCUGGCGGAAUUCGUGGUGUAGCGGUGAAAUGCUUAGAUAUCACGAAGAACUCCGAUUGCGAAGGCAGCUGGCGGUACCGUUACCGACGCUCAUGCUCGAAAGUGUGGGUAUCGAACAGGAUUAGAUACCCUGGUA
rnacentral:rRNA from 1 species